UUCAAAGAGUGAUCUUUUAGUUUCUACUGGCCUCCUUCCUAUUUGGCGUUCUUACUCUCAAGGGUGUAUUUGCUCAAGUUGUAUGUAUGUUCCUCUUUUGAGUUCUUUCUUCUUAGUUCGCUAUUCAAUGGCCGUAGAAACCCUUCAUCUUCAACCUCAAAUUUCCUGUUUAGUAGAAUCUCUCUUUGCCUUUGGUAUUUUCCAUUUUCGAUAAGCUUCAGCCACAUGCAACAAUUGUUUGUUGCUGAUUUCCUCUUUUCCAAGCCCUAAAUGCUUUUCUAUCUCAGCCCGAUUGUGACACUGAUAUAGGUGUUAAGCCUAAUAAAAAGAAAAAAAUUGGGUAUAGCUUCAUAGUUCUUAAUAAAGUUUGGAGUUGUUCACUUCAUCUUCUUCAAUUCGCUUCCACUAUUGCUUUCCAGAUUUUUUCCCCAAAUUUUGUUCUGUUUUAUCCUAAUCCUUUUUUCCUGUUUCGUAAUCUUUUGGGUUCUUUCAUACUUUCUGGUUUUGCUGGUUUUUGUGUUUUCUUGAUUCUUUGAAUUUUAUAGCUGUUGUGUGCUAAAUUGAAAAAUGUUAUUCGAGUAAUUAACUGUAAAGAAACAUAUUAUGAUAGUAAUUUUAUUUGCUUCAGACUUUUCGCUAAAGAUUUGAAUUUCAGAAGAAGAAAAAUGAAGGGUUUUGUAUUCCAAAUGCUAAAGAAACAAAUGCUUCAUCUUUUUCAACAAGGUUGAGAUAACAAUGAUCAAGUUGUUAGUUAUUUAGUCGUCGCAUGCGUAACUGCCACAAGCACUCAAAUUGGUGUAAAUUUUCAUCUUUCUUAAUACUUUGUUGUUUUAUUGUGUUUUAUUUUCAUUAUUACUGCAUUUUCUGCAUUCCACUGUGAAUUUGUCUAUCCUUGCGUUUAUGAAGCAUUUCAGGGCUUGAUAAGUACUACUCUUCUACUCCUUAAUUAAUAUUUUCUGACUUUGAUGACUAUGUGUAAAUAUUAUAUUUUUUAUCUGUAUUCUUUAAUUUCAUGUGUGAAUUAUAUAUGAUGCAAGCUAAUAAAAAAGGCCUUCAUAGCGAGUACGAGCAAACAAAGCUGAAUCGAGCAGACAACAUCUUGCUGCCAGCUCAGUUGUUACCAACUCUGCUAAUGCAUUACUCGGAGGCGACUAAUGUCUUAAGCAAGUUGAGUCGUCCUGUCAUGAGAGACUCAUUGCUUCUACCUGAAAUAGGUUAGACAAUUAGACUAUCACUUCUUGAUGGUGUGCAAUUAUAAAUACAUAUAUGAAAUUGCUACUAUCAAAGUAAUAUACUUAUACUUUCUAUCAUUACGCGACAGGAUUAACAACAAAUACAAAUCAUGAACGAUAAAAAUUUACAUGUAUUCUUUUGAAUUUUUAAUUGCUUUUGUAAUUAGAAAAAAUGCAAAUCUGCGUUCCUAAAUUUUAUAAGGUUAUAUAUUUCACAUAAAAGCUGAACUCACACUACCAAAUGAGAACCAGCUGUUCUGUUUCAUAGCUGGUUCAGACUGCAAGAGCUCUUUACAAGAAUUACUUCAUGGAGAUCAUUUUACCACACUAACUAUCGUCGAUCCACCCAGCUUAUAGUAUCCGGAUGCCAAUUUGAAGUCACUGCGAUUGACAACAACGGUUCUGCGACAACAGUGAUUUCAGACGAGUCUGCAGCAAAAAUGUUAUUACAACGGAAAAGAUUUAUGAUAUCUGUUAUGUCAAGACAAAGACAAUGUGAUCAACCCACAGAUGGCAUCCACCACGAUGGACGCUGCAGAGAGAAGCAAGCAUGAAAUUAUACACAUCGGUAUAGAGGAACGAGAGGACCGCCACACAAAAGCAAAGGCAAUACUUUGUACCACAAGCAUGGGGUGGAAACAAAAAUUUCUCCCCCGAAAAAAUUCUGAAAGUUAAAGACCUUUUGCUACUCUUUUGGGACGCGAUGGAAGCCACUUUUUGCUGCUUUUUCUGAAUGCAGUUAGAUCUGUCUUUGUCGCUGCUUUCUGGAUACUGAUACAGUUAUUAGGUGUUUUUUUUUCAUGACAUGCUAAGAAGAAGGCCAGAAAGAAGAUUAAACACCACAUAAAACAAGCAUUAUCGUCAGCCAAUAUGUGAAUACCUUUCCCAUAUGUGCAUAACUAUCCAUAUAUGAUGUCAUUAAUGUUCCAAUUGAAAAUACCAAAGAUCAAGCAUAAUUUCAUAGAAGGAAAUGGCGUAGCACAUCAACUAGCAAAGGAAGCUAUUAGCCACUUCAAGCCCUCAAGAUGUGUGUACCUUGCUCGUCCACCACUUUUUGUUAAAACUGAAUUAGAAAAAAACAAGCAAGGAUUAUGUUUUGGUACCAAGUAUUUACCUAGCAAUGGUUGUAAUAGUCUCGCUGCUAUAGACAGUAGUAAUGUCCUUCGGGACUAU